AGGACCAGGCGAUAAUCGAAAUCGCGACCUGGAGAUAUCUGCAGUAGAAGAUUGCAAUCUCACACUCUACCACUGAGCUACCGGUCC